rnacentral:rRNA from 1 species
GACGAACGCUGGCGGCGUGCUUAACACAUGCAAGUCGAACGGAAAGGCCCUGCUUUUGUGGGGUGCUCGAGUGGCGAACGGGUGAGUAACACGUGAGUAACCUGCCCUUGACUUUGGGAUAACUUCAGGAAACUGGGGCUAAUACCGGAUAGGAGCUCCUGCUGCAUGGUGGGGGUUGGAAAGUUUCGGCGGUUGGGGAUGGACUCGCGGCUUAUCAGCUUGUUGGUGGGGUAGUGGCUUACCAAGGCUUUGACGGGUAGCCGGCCUGAGAGGGUGACCGGCCACAAUGGGACUGAGAUACGGCGCAGACUCCUACGGGAGGCAGCAGGGGGGAAUAUGGCACAAUGGGCGGAAGUCUGAUGCAGAAGCGCCGCGUGCGGGAUGACGGCCUUCGGGUUGUAAAACGCUUUCGCCUGUGACGAAGCGUGAGUGACGGUAAUGGGUAAAGAAGCACCGGCUAACUACGUG